rnacentral:rRNA from 1 species
AGAUUGAACGCUGGCGGCAUGCUUUACACAUGCAAGUCGAGCGGCAGCGCGGGGGCAACCCUGGCGGCGAGCGGCGAACGGGUGAGGAACACAUCGGAACGUGCCCCGGAGUGGGGGAUAACGCCGCGAAAGCGGCGCUAAUACCGCAUAUGCUCCGAGGAGGAAAGCGGGGGACCUGUAAGGGCCUCGCGCUCUGGGAGCGGCCGAUGUCCGAUUAGCUAGUUGGUGGGUAACGCUCACCAAGGCGACGAUCGGUAGCUCGGUCUGAGAGGAUGAAUCAGCCACACUGGGACUGAGACACGGCCCAGACUCCUACGGGAGCAGCAGUGGGAUUUGGACAAGUGGGGCAACCGUGAACUCCAGCCAUGCCGCGGUAGG